UGCUGUUCCAAGUGCAGUGAUGUUAUAGCUAAUGGAUCACAACCAGUCACAGAUUCCUUUGUUCCUUCCCCACUCCCACUUGUUAACUUGACUAGCAGAUG
ensembl:misc_RNA Y_RNA Y RNA